rnacentral:rRNA from 1 species
GUGCCAGCAGCCGCGGUAAUACGUAGGUGGCAAGCGUUAUCCGGAACUAUUGGGCGUAAAGCGCGCGUAGGCGGUUUUUUAAGUCUGAUGUGAAAGCCCACGGCUCAACCGUGGAGGGUCAUUGGAAACUGGAAAACUUGAGUGCAGAAGAGGAAAGUGGAAUUCCAUGUGUAGCGGUGAAAUGCGCAGAGAUAUGGAGGAACACCAGUGGCGAAGGCGACUUUCUGGUCUGUAACUGACGCUGAUGUGCGAAAGCGUGGGGAUCAAACAGGAUUAGA